CACUUGCCCGCCUCUACCAUUUACCCGCCCAGCCUGGAGCGUCCGGGCCGGCAAGUCCAGCGCCGGGGCCUCACUGUUUCCGCGUGUGAAGCGUUCGAAGACUGCCAUGGACCCGCGGCCGGAGACCGCAUCCGCCUGUAGCACUAACGCGUCCCGCAGCGCUGCGUAGCCGCACAGCACCACCGCAGGGCGCGGGCCCAGCCGCACUGUGAACACCCGGCCCCAGCGGCCGGAGAGCUACGGUACUCAGCAGGCCGGAGCACUCAUCCUUCCUGUCCUUCCUCAAGAUCAUAGAGUACAAACCCUCAGCUGUCUUCAUUCAGGAGGAGUUCUAGUCCCCAGCCCCACCUUCACGAAUCCAGAAUUCCGUCCCCCAAUUCCUGUCGGGAAUGGAGUGCGCGGUCCAGGCCUCCGGACUGCAGCUGCAAGUUCUCCAGCAAUGGGAGCAGCCUGGGCCGGGGAGGUAGGGACCCCCGCAUCUGAGCGCGGCACCCACCCUACCCCCACCACGCCGGCGCCAGCACCAGAAGCCACAACAGCAGCGCAGCGAUACCCGCGAUCAUCAUGCCUGCAAUUCUCCACGCCUGCACCCCUUCACCUCUAUUUGAUUUC
rnacentral:lncRNA from 1 species